GAUGAACGCUGGCGGCGUGCCUAAUACAUGCAAGUCGAACGCAGUGGGGACGGGUGAGUAACACGUGGGUAACCUCCCAUCAGAGGGGAUAACCCUUGGAAAAAGGUGCUAAACCGAUACUGAUGGAUGGACCCGCGGUGCAUUAGCUAGUUGGUGAGGUAACGGCUCACCAAGGCCACGAUGCAUAGCCCGCCUGAGAGGGUGGUCGGCCACAAUGGGACUUGGCAACGGCCCAGACUCCCACGGGAGGCAGCAGUAGGGAAUCUUCGGCAAUGGAGGGAAAUCUGGCCGAGCAACGGCGGGGGAGUGAAGAAGGUUUUCGGAUCGUAAAACUCUGUUGUUAGGGAAGCGGUAUCUAACCAGAAAGCCACGGCUAACUACGUGCCAGCCGGCGGGGUAAUACC
rnacentral:rRNA from 1 species